rnacentral:rRNA from 1 species
UACGUAGGGUGCAAGCGUUAAUCGGAAUUACUGGGCGUAAAGCGUGCGCAGGCGGUUGUGCAAGACGGAUGUGAAAUCCCCGGGCUUAACCUGGGAAUUGCAUUUGUGACUGCACGGCUAGAGUUUGUCAGAGGGGGGUAGAAUUCCACGUGUAGCAGUGAAAUGCGUAGAGAUGUGGAGGAACACCGAUGGCGAAGGCAGCCCCCUGGGUUAACACUGACGCUCAGGCACGAAAGCGUGGGGAGCAAACAGG